rnacentral:ncRNA from 2 species
GAACGCCGUAUGAUGGGAAACUAUCACGUACGGUGUGAACCGGGGGAAAGGCUACUCUGACUGCCACUGUCGUGGUAAAAGCAGUAACCUACCUAUCGGUAU